UGUGAAUUGCAGAAUUCCGUGAAUCAUCGAAUCUUUGAACGCAUAUGGCGCUCGAGGCUUCGGCCAAGAGCAUGUCUGCCUCAGCGUCGGGUU
rnacentral:rRNA from 1 species